GGUAUAUUAACAGAUCAAGAUCGAUUUGAUGUUUUAAUGGAGUUGUUACCAUGGGAACGAGAAUUGUUAAAGAAAGAUCCUAUUAUUGCACCUGAUGGAUUUAUACCAAAUUCUGUGGUUAGAAAACGAGUUAAUUAUGUACCAUCACCAGUGCUUCCACCAUCACCAUGGAGACUAAAAUCAGCACCUAAUCAUGAUCCCCGAUUUUUACCAGAUGGAUGGUGUGAGAAAGAGGAUGAACCAGAAUUAGUUCGCAGGUCUCGUGUAUAUUCUAGUACUUCAGAAAAAACUGUGGUCGUUGCUGCACCCGUUGAGGAGACGAUAGAAGAGGUUGCUCCACCUGUCAGAAAAAUUGAAAUACCAGUGUUUGAACCUCUGUCAGUGAAAGAGGAGAAAAAACCCAAACCUAAGAAACAAAAAGAAAAAGUCAAAGAAAAGUUUGAGUUGAAGAAAUACGAGUUUGCUAGACCCAAUCUAGAUCUAGAUGUACAUAAAAAGAAAACUGAAGUUAUUGAUGAAGAGGAAGAUCCACUAAGUCCUACUACAAUGAUUGGAACUUUACCCGAUACUGAUGAGGUAACAGUUGAUACAAGUACUUCAGAUUUAGAAUUUGAUCCAAGAGACUCUAUACCAGAUGCUCUACUUAAACUACUUGAUGAACCAUGGUUUCCUGAAUGUGAGAUUACUACUGAUGCUAUACUACUGACACUUAUCAAUCUACUAGCAUCUGAUGAUCCAUUUGUAUUCGCAUCUGCUUGUGGUUACAUCACAGAUC